AUGCCCUGCCUUACCACUCACUCGUUAUCUGUGUGACUCUGGGCCAAUGUUGAAAGCUUCUGAGUUCAGUUCCCUUUCCCAUAAAGUUAGAUGCUGAGUACCUGGCUUGCCUCACAGGAUCCUUAUCAGCGUGCUGAGAUGGGAAGAUGCUGCCAACUCCUGCCUGUAUGUACUAUGUCAUCUCUGUGCAAAACAGCUGCAUGAGAAACAAAAAGGGAAGCUCGUGCGGUGUCCAUACUGAGGAAAAGGCCAGCUCUGACUUCUUGUAGACACUGUGAGCGAAGACCCUGGGAACGCUCAAGCUGGCUCCUGGUCUCCUGUCAAUCAUAUUUGCCUACUGGGGGAGUGUCCAGGCCAGAGGACUUGAAGAAAGAGGUCCAGAGGUCAGCUUUGACUUUGGUGCUUCUAAGAUGUCGCCGUGUUUUAGCCUGGAAUUCAUCAUCUCUCUGAUACAUCAACAUUGACAUAUUACAUCUUCAUCGCUUAUUAUAGAAAAUGGAAAUGAAACCAGAAUAUUGCACUUUGAGAAGUCCAUCUGGAAGUUCACUUUUUUAUAUUUUGCAAAUGCAAACAGAGCUUAUUAUCAAAAGACAAACCCUCUGAGGAAGAAGAGAAACAGUUGGAAAGGUGGGGGUGGGAGGAAGCAAGGAGAGAAUCACUGAAAACAAAUCCCAUGACAGUGUUUAAGGUGAAAUUGGAGAGAUUAAACUCCACUUAUUUUUUGCUUGAUUUGCCAGUCUGCUAGUUUGGCUGACUGUGAAUAUGUUCAGCCGCUCACUCCCUAUCUAUUAAGCUCUCCGUGGAAAGGAUGAGUUUGGAUAGGUGUCAACAGCUGCAAAUGUCACCAAUCCCGUAAUACCUUUGUAGUACUGUUAUCUGAAUAGCCUUGCACAGUCUGCCUGAAGACUCUAGUCACCCCACAGUGGACACCAGAACACUUCUUCCCUUAUUUUGGCCCCAGAAAAACAUGCCUAAGGUUUCGGGAUCCUAUUAUUUGCUGAGAGAAUCAUGUUCUCCUUGAGUUCGUUACAAAGUCACUCUGGUCCUUGGAGAUUAGAAGUUUAACUGCACAAGGCCAUACCUCACUGAGUUCUCUUCAUUUGGACUUCCCACCCGUUUCUGUUGUAGCCAACUUAAUCGCCUUCAGGACUAUCAAGUCAGCCAUCAGACAAGGUGGUCUUUAUUUCCUUCCACACGGUACAGAGAUUAAAGCUGCUUGAUUUUUCUCAUAUAUUCCCUGGCACAUCGACCACAGACUCAGCUGUUAAUGUUUACAACUUCGCCCAAACUUGCAGGUCCUUUGGUCUAACAACCCAUCUUAUCGUACAGUUCCAGUGGUUAAUGCUGUCUUGGCCAUAACAGGUGUUGGAAUAAGCAGUAGCACUCCAGAACUUCUUUGCAAAUUUGGGACUGGGGAAGAGAAAAACCAGUUCCCUUCAGUGUCCAGGGAGAACAGUCAAACUAGACACUGAGGCAUAUGGAAAUCACAGUGUGGGCCUGGUAUGGUAGCCUAAAAGCUGAAGUCCUCCUCUUGCAUGUGCUGGAAUCCCAUAUGGGCUCCAGUUCAUGU